UACGUAGGGUGCGAGCGUUAAUCGGAAUUACUGGGCGUAAAGCGUGCGCAGGCGGUUUUGUAAGACAGGUGUGAAAUCCCCGGGCUUAACCUGGGAACUGCACUUGUGACUGCAAGGCUGGAGUACGGCAGAGGGGGAUGGAAUUCCGCGUGUAGCAGUGAAAUGCGUAGAUAUGCGGAGGAACACCGAUGGCGAAGGCAAUCCCCUGGGCCUGUACUGACGCUCAUGCACGAAAGCGUGGGGGGCAAACAGG
rnacentral:rRNA from 1 species